rnacentral:rRNA from 1 species
AAACCUGAGAAACCCGAAAGUUCGAAUGGGGAGAUUCAUCGUCAGCGGCGCAGGCUUCACGACGGCUCAGGCGAUGGUCGAGCGUGCCACACCCUCGCGGUGUCUCGCUUACCACGCCGCCGUCGCGUUCAAUGUCCGGCGUCGUCGUCGUGCACUUCUCCUCUAGUAGGACGUCGCGACCCGUUGGGUGUCGGUCUACGGCCCGGGUGGGUGCCUGUCUCGUCGCCUCCGCGCGCACGGGGCAGACCCCCGGUCGCUCGACCGGCUGCUCGGCGGUACUCCUAAGGUAUCGGGCCGCAAAAAUCUUGAAGUGCGUCCAGGCCCGUCGCAAGCUCGGUCAGUGUUAACCCGGAAGUACGGACUAUGCGCCGUCACCGGGCCUGGCCAGCUGUUCGCUCGAACGGUGUCCUCGGACUGGCCAUUAAACUCAAACUGCGAUACCGGUCGGCGACGCUAUUGCUUUGGGUACUCUCAGGACCCGUCUUGAAACACGGACCAAGGAGUCUAACAUGUGCGCGAGUCAUUGGGAUCAAGUAAAACCUAAAGGCGCAAUGAAAGUGAAGAUCGUCCUUAGCGUCGAUCGAGGGAGGAUGGGCGGCGUCACGAUGCCGCCUCGCACUCCCGGGGCGUCUCGUUCUCAUCGCGAGAUGAGGCGCACCCAGAGCGUACACGUUGGGACCCGAAAGAUGGUGAACUAUGCCUGGUCAGGACGAAGUCAGGGGAAACCCUGAUGGAGGUCCGUAGCGAUUCUGACGUGCAAAUCGAUCGUCGGAACUGGGUAUAGGGGCGAAAGACUAAUCGAACCAUCUAGUAGCUGGUUCCCUCCGAAGUUUCCCUCAGGAUAGCUGGCACUCGACCGUUCCUUUGGAACGUAUAUGCGAGUCUCAUCUGGUAAAGCGAAUGAUUAGAGGCCUUGGGGCCGAAACGACCUCAACCUAUUCUCAAACUUUAAAUGGGUGAGAUCUCUGGCUUGCUUGAACUAUGAAGCCAAGAGAAAUUGAGGAUCAGAGUGCCAAGUGGGCCAAUUUU